rnacentral:rRNA from 1 species
GACGUAGGGCGCAAGCGUUGUCCGGAUUUAUUGGGCGUAAAGAGCUCGUAGGCGGCUUGUUGCGUCGACUGUGAAAAACCACGUCUCAACCGUGGGACUGCAGUCGAUACGGGCAGGCUAGAGUUCGGUAGGGGAGACUGGAAUUCCUGGUGUAGCGGUGAAAUGCGCAGAUAUCAGGAGGAACACCGGUGGCGAAGGCGGGUCUCUGGGCCACUACUGACGCUGAGAAGCGAAAGCAUGGGGAGCGAACAGG